rnacentral:lncRNA from 1 species
AUGUUUUACUGAAGAUACUUGAUCUACCAAAUCUUGUUGUGCUGGAUGAAGCGUACAUUGAAUUUUCAGGACUUGAAUCAAAGAUGGGAUGGGUGAAGAAGCAUGAGAAUCUUAUUGUUCUUCAGACAUUUAGUAAAAGAACAUGGAGAAGAUAUAAAUGCAGUUGCCAUCAAGGAGGUGAAAGAACUGGCUGUAGUCACUUCAUGUCUCAACCCGAGUGAUGGCAACUUUCGGAUAAGAUUUUCGUUUUCUUUUUAAGUUUGCGCAAUAGACUUGGUUUAGAGGUGGUGAAACAAGCCAACAGUCGGGUUGGUUAACUGGUACAUCUGACAUGUUCUAUAGGUUUUUCAGUUUAACUUGUGUUCCUUUGUAGUGAAGAAAUUCCGUAUCUGUCAGUUCUAAUGGGUGUCCGACCAUCUGGAAUCCUCAUGGGUAAUUUGGUCAUUACAUAUCAAUAUAUUUCAUUGAAUUAAA